rnacentral:rRNA from 1 species
AGAGUUUGAUUCUGGCUCAGGAUGAACGCUGGCGGCGUGCUUAACACAUGCAAGUCGAACGGAGUUUUUAAACGGAAGUUUUCGGAUGGAAGUUUAGAAACUUAGUGGCGGACGGGUGAGUAACGCGUGGGUAACCUGCCUCAUACAGGGGGAUAACAGUUAGAAAUGACUGCUAACACCGCAUAAUAUAGCGAAACCGCAUGAUUUUGCUAUCAAAUAUUUAUAGGUAUGAGAUGGGCCCGCGUCUGAUUAGCUAGUUGGUGGGGUAAAAGCCUACCAAGGCGACGAUCAGUAGCCGGCUUGAGAGAGUGACCGGCCACAUUGGGACUGAGACACGGCCCAAACUCCUACGGGAGGCAGCAGUGGGGAAUAUUGGACAAUGGGGGAAACCCUGAUCCAGCGAACCGCCGCGUGAGUGAAGAAGUAUUUCGGUAUGUAAAGCUCUAUCAGCAGGGAAGAUAAUGACAGUACCUGACUAAGAAGCCCCGGCUAACUACGUGCCAGCAGCGGC